rnacentral:rRNA from 1 species
UUUAGGGGGGGGAACCGAAGAACCUUACCAGGUCUUGACAUCCCUCUGACCGCUAUGGAGACAUAGCUUUCCCUUCGGGGACAGCGGUGACAGGUGGUGCAUGGUUGUCGUCAGCUCGUGUCGUGAGAUGUUGGGUUAAGUCCCGCAACGAGCGCAACCCUUGUCCUUAGUUGCCAUCAUUCAGUUGGCCACUUUAAGGAGACUCCCGUACAAAUACGGAGGAAGGUGGGGAUGACGUCAAAUCAUCAUGCCCCUUAUGACCUGGGCUACACACGUGCUACAAUGGACGGUACAAACGGUCGCGAAGUCGCGAGACGGAGCCAAUCCGAAAAAACCGUUCUCAGUUCGGAUUGCAGGCUGCAACUCGCCUGCAUGAAGCCGGAAUCGCUAGUAAUCGCGGAUCAGCAGACCUUCGU